CUGCUGGUAGCUCAGUGGUUAAGAUGUCAGACUUCUGAUUGGAAGGUUGAGAGUUCAAAUCCCAGCACU